UACGUAGGGUGCGAGCGUUGUCCGGAAUUAUUGGGCGUAAAGAGCUCGUAGGCGGUGUGUCGCGUCGGCCGUGAAAACCUGGGGCUUAACUCUGGGCGUGCGGUCGAUACGGGCAUCACUAGAGUUCGGCAGGGGAGACUGGAAUUCCUGGUGUAGCGGUGAAAUGCGCAGAUAUCAGGAGGAACACCGGUGGCGAAGGCGGCUCUCUGGGCAUUACCUGACGCUGAGGAGCGAAAGUGUGGGGAGCGAACAGG
rnacentral:rRNA from 1 species